rnacentral:tRNA from 1 species
GCACCCGUAGCUCAAUGGAUUAGAGCGUCUGACUACGGAUCAGAAGGUUACAGGUUCGAGUCCUGUCGGGUGUA